rnacentral:rRNA from 1 species
GACGAACGCUGGCGGCGUGCUUAACACAUGCAAGUCGAACGGAAAGGCCCUGCUUUUGUGGGGUGUUCGAGUGGCGAACGGGUGAGUAACACGUGAGUAACCUGCCUUUGACUUUGGGAUAACUUCAGGAAACUGGGGCUAAUACCGGAUAGGAGCUCCUGCUGCAUGGUGGGGGUUGGAAAGUUUCGGCGGUUGGGGAUGGACUCGCGGCUUAUCAGCUUGUUGGUGGGGUAGUGGCUUACCAAGGCUUUGACGGGUAGCCGGCCUGGGAGGGUGACCGGCCACAUUGGGACUGAGAUACGGCCCAGACUCCUACGGGAGGCAGCAGUGGGGAAUAUUGCACAAUGGGCGGAAGCCUGAUGCAGCAACGCCGCGUGCGGGAUGACGGCCUUCGGGUUGUAAACCGCUUUCGCCUGUGACGAAGCGUGAGUGACGGUAAUGGGUAAAGAAGCACCGGCUAACUACGUG